UGGAUCACCUCCUAACAGGGAGACAACAAAAUGUUUAAUAUUAUUAUUUUGUCACCUUAGGUCGAUCGGUAUCUCACAUUUUUAAUUUAUUAAGAAUUUCAUUUCCUAAGUUUUUCUAGGUCACACCCAUCAUUUUUCCUGGGCCAUUAGCUCAGGUGGUUAGAGCGCACCCCUGAUAAGGGUGAGGUCCCUGGUUCAAGUCCAGGAUGGCCCAUAUCUCUAUGUUGGGGGUAUAGCUCAGUUGGUAGAGCGCCUGCUUUGCAAGCAGGAUGUCAGCGGUUCGAGUCCGCUUACCUCCACUGAUUACCACCUCUUCCAUACCCGGUAGAAAGGAAAUUUUUUGAGUUGUGACAAAAUUCUGAAAGAAUCUAGCUUCCUAAUGUAAUCAUUAAGAUGCUGGACUCAUUGAAUUAAUUUCAUUGUUUUCAGAGAACCUUGACAACUGCAUAGAUUAUUUUUAAAGACAAUAAGCAUCUUUAAUGAUGCAGAUUUAUUAUUUGUGCGAAUGCAUUAAUAACAAUUCUAUUAAGCUGAUGCUUCAAUUUUUGAAGUUAUUGGUCAAGCUACAAAGGGCUCACGGAGGAUACCUAGGCACACAGAGGCGAUGAAGG
rnacentral:tRNA from 1 species